rnacentral:lncRNA from 1 species
UAAUUAAUUGGAUUAAUUAAGUGUUGUGAUUAAUUAGAAAGUCUAAAGAAAUCAUAAAAGCGAUAUUAGAUCGUUUUGGGCUUAAAGAAACGUUCGGGUUUAAUUGGGCCCAUUGGGCCUAAACCCAUUGGGCUUUUAUUCAAGCAUUGGAUGACUUGAAAUAAAUAAAAGCCCAAAGCCCAAACAACACAAAGGGGCCGGCCAGAGGAGGGAAAGAAAGGUCAAAUGUUGACUUGUUUCUUUUUGGCUAUAAAAGGAACUUUAUAGCAAAUGUUUCAUUAGGGUUUUUGUAAGUGUUAAAAGAACAAAAGAGAAAAAAGGAAAAAUAUCUCUCUAACACUCAAAGGGCCGGCCACCAUAGGGGGAUUUAGCUAAUCAUCUUUUCAC